GGAAGGUGCAAGCGUUAAUCGGGAAUUACUGGGGCGUAAAGCGCGCGUAGGCGGCUAGAUUAAGUCGGGGGGUGUGAAAGCCCUGGGGCUCAACCUGGGGAACUGCAUUCGAUACUGUCUAGCUAGAGUGUGGUAGAGGGAGGCGGAAUUCCGCAUGUAGCGGUGAAAUGCGUAGAGAUGCGGAGGAACACCAAUGGCGAAGGCAGCCUUCUGGACCAACACUGACGCUGAGGCGCGAAAGCGUGGGGAGCAAACAGGAUUAGAUACCCUGGUAGUCCACGCCGUAAACGAUGUCAACUAGCCGUUGGGAGCAAUUUGGUUCUUGGUGGCGCAGCUAACGCGAUAAGUUGACCGCCUGGGGAGUACGGUCGCAAGAUUA
rnacentral:rRNA from 1 species